UGCUCAUCUCCCUCCCCAUUCCCGUGUGCUGCUUUCUCCAUUCCCCCACCUUUCCAACCUUCUCCUAUGUCAAUCUCGUCGGCGACGAGCCAGGCGUCGCAGGACAUGGGCCAGCGGCUAGAGGGGUGCACGCAUGAGGGCGUAGAAAUCCCAGCUCGCCGCCUCCAGCACCACCUAGUGACCACCGCUGCGCCAUGUCGUGACCUAGAUCGGGAGAUCUCGAUUCUGCCCCUGUGGACCGUCGCACGAUGGUGGAGACAUCGGGCGGCUGGAGGCUCCACCUCACGGCUAGCUGAGGACCGCGGCCGCUUCCUCGCGGCAACAAGACCCUGCUCGUCGUCGUGUGAGUCGCCGGAUUCGCGCUGGUAUUCCUGUGGUCCAGCGCCUCCAUGUUCGUCGGGGCCUAGGGCGGGAUCCCCAGCCUCCUCUCGUUGCCGCCGUCGCCGUCGCGCCUGGUUCCGCCCUGCGCCUGGAUUCCUACAACCUGAAGGAUUUCGGCGACGGCGGCGGGAACGGGCGGUCGGUGAACUCCCAAGCGUUCGAGCGCGUUGUCGAGGCCAUGGCGGGCUAGGGCAGGGGCAGUCUUGCCGCUCAGAUGGUGGCUCACGGGGCCGUUCAACUUGACCAGCCACGUGAUGAUGUUCCUCGCCGAAGGAACGGAGAUUCUCGCAUCGCGUUGACACUGGUGGCUCAAGAACGGCAGCCGGACCUGGAGGAGAUGGUCCCUGGUGGAGCAUCUGCUUUUACCAGAUCAAGCGCGGCAUCCUGUACCUAGAAGCGGUGUAUCCCACAUAGUGCAACCGGUAUCAUCUCGCUCACAGUGGUGGAGGAGGACAUGGCGCCUAGCUCGAGCCGGUGGCAGUGAGCACGACGCAUAGCUUGAGCCGAUCACGGUGCCUCUGACGCCCAAUGUAAGUUGCUUAUUCAUUUUAACUAACUUACUGAUUGCUACUUUGUUAAGUUGCUUUCUAGUAAUGUUUAAGUUGACUAAACAUUGAUGCUAAGUUCCUUUCUGGUGAAGUUGUUGUAACAUCGAUGCUAAGUUGCUUUCUAGGUAAACUGGACAUAUUAGGUUUGACAUGCAUAUAGUGUGAUAUUGAGAUAAACUGGACAUAUUGGGACUAGGUUGCCUACUUUCAAUGUCAAGUUGGCUACAAGUUGCUCCAUAGUUACUGUUAAGUUGCUGAUCGUGUGAGAAAUUGUAGUUGUUUUGUGUGAAAAUGGAUGCACUACAACAUGCCUACAGGUUCCUUAGAAUUUUUCCUAUCUUUGAUGUCGAGCUGUCUACUAGUUGUUGGUAAGUUGCGUGAUGGUUACCGUUAAGUUGCUGAUCAAGUGAGUUGCUUGAGUCUGAUGCCCAUUUCAAACUAUUUGGUGGGAUUUAUACGUAAUCAUGUUUGGAUUAAGUUUGCUUUUGUCCGAAGAGUAAUUAGCUACAUGCAAAUACAACUUAGGGGUUGGAAAAGGCAACUAAUCAUACAUGCACAUAAAAAUGUGGAAUUUAUUGGUACAUGUAAAUACAACUUAAGGGUGGGAAAAGGCAAUUAGUCAUACAUGCACAUCCAACUUAUGGAAAUACUGGUACAUGCAACUAAGGGUAUAUGCAAAUAGAACUUAGUCGUGUAAAGAGGUAACUAAUCAUACAUGCUCAUCUAGGGAUUUAUUGAGAAAACAACUUUUACUGCUGAACUUGAGCAGCUUAACUACUGAAUUUCAGCAGUUUUAACUAUUGAACUUGACUAGUUUUUUUCAUAUUGUUUUGGCAAGUAGCGAAAAAAAUGAAGCAUCGAUUUUGAAGCACAUCAAAAUGGAAUCUCAUGUCUGCAUAUUAGGUUACUAGAUGCCAUUUGUUAGCUUAUCUUUUUCUUGUGAAACUGACAUUAAAAUUGUCUACUAUUAUUGAUCCCACCGUAGUUUUGUCACUUCUACUCUUCAUGUUCAAAGAUUUCAGAAAAACUGCUAACCAAUUGCUUUCUUGGUAAUUUUUAAGUUGCUGAAACAUUUAUGUUAAGUUUCCUUCUUGGUAAUGCCUAAGUUGUGUCAACUGAUCCUGAAAUUGCUGACAUGUAUAGGGGCGACAAAACCAAGAUUUUCUUUAACUUUUAUGUGUCUUUGGUCUUCUGAACAAGGGACUGAAGUAAGUAUUUCCCUAUCAUGUUCAAGGUGCUUACCUAUUUUGAUUAAGUUGUAGUCUCCUUUCACUAAGUAGCUGCAUCAAUGAAUGUGGGAGUUGCUUUGCCAAUAUAGUUAAGUUGCAUCUACCACUUAAUUAAGUUUGAUUAGACAUCUUAGGUUGUUCUUCCCUAGAUUUUUUUAAUGGACUUUGAUUUCUGAAUUAAGUUGUCCCGCAAACAUAGUUAAGUUACUUGCGCCAUUUAAUUAAGUUGAUUAGAGAUCUUAGUCUAAGUUUUUUUAGUUUACUUUCUUAAUAUUUUUGAAGUAUCUUUUUCUUUAUAGAACUGUGACUGAAACAACUCAAGCAAGAAUCCCAACAACUAAAGAUAUUUCAGAGGCAACUCAUGUUUAAGUUGUUUUUUGCACAUCGAUGGAGUGGUAUUUAUUGAUUUAUUUCACUAGUCAAAUAUCCAGACAUUAAGUUGCUUAUCCGUUUAAGUUGAUCAGCCACCUUGAGAUAUGUUGUUUAUUACACAUCAUGGGCUUAGGUGUUGUUGUUCUUGUCUGACUAGAGAAUCAUAACUCCUACAUUGCUUCUGAUUACAAUACUUUGUUGCUUUCACAUGUGUCCCUAAGUUGUUUAUAAAUACUUUGUUGCCUCACACAUGUUCUAAGUUGCUUAUAUAUACAUUACUUUGUUGUCUCAUACACGUUCUAAGUGGCUUACAAAUAAUAUCCGAUGAUUAUACAUAAUGUUGUCUCGCAAAUUAUACUUUUUUGCUAAGUUGUCGAUUACUAUAAUACUUUGUUGCCUCAUACAUCCACUAAGUAGGUUACACAUAAUGUUGAUCAUCUUUGGUUUUGAAAUCAUUGCCUCACAUAGAUAAUUAUUUUCUGACAACAUAGUUAAGCUGCUUCUCCAUGCUACACUUGCCACUUUUAAAACUAAGUUGCUUUCCAAUAGAUAUAGUAUUGAGGUUUCAUGAAAACUGAUCAUAGUUUUGAUAUUCUAUUUGGAACUUGUAUUUACUUGCAGAUUAGUCACAUCAAUUUUUUUGGUACUAUAUGCUUUCUUAACUUUUUAUUUCCUUGUAGAUCAGUGGCCAUUGAAAAAAAAUGAAGCAUCAGUUUGUGGAAGUACUUGCAAGUGGAACCAUGUUUGUGCAUAGAUGCUAAGUACUCCAUCCUAUCGCAUUUAAUCGACGCGGAGCUUGCCUAUGUAUCUUAUUGUGCCGGCGUCGAUUAAUACCGAACGGAGGUAUUAGAUGUAGAUGUUGAGUUUCCAGCUGGUAUGUACAUUCAAAUUGACAAACCUGGUAUAUGUGAAGUUGUAUCUAUGAUACAACGAUGUUGUCACAGGUUUUGGGCAGGUUUUAUGUCAUCUUCUACAAGUUUUGUUUCCCACAAAAACAUUGAUUUAAUGCAAAUGACUAUUAAGUUGCUUUGCUAUAUUGCUACUAAGUUUUCUGCCACAAACAAAUGUGUGGUUAUUUUGCAUCCUCGUGUUUGGGUCCAAUAAUUGUCUUCACAUCUGACACCUGAGCUGUAGAUAAAAGUUGCAGGUUCCUAUGGAGAUAUCAAUGGAGAGGAAGGAAAGAUGGUGUCUUGCAGAGGAAGAUGGAAAAGAGAGAAGAGGGAGAGGGGUGUCACGUGGUUGGUGUGCGGGUUUUGGCUCGUGAGAUCAGCCUGGGACAGCGCUAGCCAGGAGGAAACCCGGACGGGAAAACGCGUGUGUUUUGUUUUGGGUUGGUCCGUGUUGUUUCUAAUUGGGGGUAACUUUCCUAAUCGGGGCGAUGGCUGGUUCAGACUAACCAGCCACCGUUUGCUCCCUAGAUGUGUCCAAGAAGGAUAUGUGCAAGAAUUCCCGGUGAUUGAUUAUUUGACAUAUAUCAAUAGUCGUUUA